UGGGGGGACAUAAACAAAGUUUCUAUACAAAGUUGCUGUAACGUUGUUUGCUAAGUGAAUAUCAAUGUGAUCUAUCUUUGAGAGGAUGAUUAACAUUUUAUUAAGAGCAAUCACGUUUUUUUCUAUUUAAGUGGAUUGAAAGUUAAUUCAUAAUGAAGUAAAGUGGUGGGAAGUUCGAAAGAGGAAAACCAAAGUAUGCCCCAUCGCCAACGACCUGCCACGAGCUCAUAUGUGCAUCCAAGGAUUAGCAUCAACAUUAAGACGAGUUCGUUUUGGGUUUAUAUUGGCGACUUAAGGUA